CAAGUCUUGACAUCCCUCUGACCGGAACUUAAUCGUUCCUUUCCUUCGGGACAGAGGAGACAGGUGGUGCAUGGUUGUCGUCAGCUCGUGUCGUGAGAUGUUGGGUUAAGUCCCGCAACGAGCGCAACCCCUAUCCUCAGUAGCCAGCAUUUAAGGUGGGCACUCUGGGGAGACUGCCAGGGAUAACCUGGAGGAAGGCGGGGAUGACGUCAAAUCAUCAUGCCCUUUAUGACUUGGGCUACACACGUACUACAAUGGCGUUAAACAAAGAGAAGCAAGACCGCGAGGUGGAGCAAAACUCAGAAACAACGUCCCAGUUCGGACUGCAGGCUGCAACUCGCCUGCACGAAGUCGGAAUUGCUAGUAAUCGUGGAUCAG
rnacentral:rRNA from 1 species